ACCAGAGUGGACGAACCUCUGGUGUACCGGUUGUGACGCCAGUCGCAUCGCCGGGUAGCUAUGUUCGGAAGGGAUAACCGCUGAAAGCAUCUAAGCGGGAAGCCUACCUCAAGAUAAGAUUUCCCUAGGAAUUUAUUCCUCUAAAGAGCCGUUCGAGACUAGGACGUUGAUAGGUUGGAUGUGGAAGCAUAGUGAUAUGUGAAGCUGACCAAUACUAAUUGCUCGUGAGGCUUGACUAUACAACACCCAAGCAGUUG
rnacentral:rRNA from 1 species